CGCAUCAGCUCUACCACAGGUGUAUAACUAAAGUUCUCUUUUCACGCGCGAAAAUAGGCUUUCCAUUGUUCAACGUAUCCUACGGAUUGAAUUAGUGCCUCAGGGUUCAUCGACUGGUUAAAAAGCAAGCCACUCCACAAUAGACUUUCCGCCCCUCCCUCAAAUCUAAAUCCUACUGCAUAACAAGCUUGCGUUGAUAUAAAGACGCGUGAACACCGAGCAAUUAGCUGCUUAGACUCGAGAGGAUUAACAGUCAGGACUGCAGGACAUCAUUACCAUGGCAACAAACAAAAGUACUUUAGUGAUCCUUACGGUGGUUUUGACGCUGUGUCUCAUUACACAAUCCGCUCACGGCUUCUUCAGAGAAGGAAGAAACUUGGAGGCGCGUAGGGACAAUAAUCGACUGGGGCUCAGAGAGGCCAGGUACUACGGCGCCCAGGGUGGCCUACACAGGGAGCCCGAAAAAGAAGAAGAGGAUGCGCUACUUAAGAGAUUCAGAGGAUACAGACGAUGAACAAUGAACAGUGCUACUAACAGCACUACGACAGAUCCAUCAAUCAACUGUGCAUGCACGAUUCUGGUCGCCUAGAUGUGUUGCUAUGGAGACGAGAACAGAUGUAAAUCCAUAAUGCUUUGCCAUCUGUAACAAUGUCGUAGUAUGAAAGUAUCAAUAAAGAAUAAUUUUAAUAGUU